rnacentral:rRNA from 1 species
UCCGCUUGAAGAUGAGCUUGCGUCUGAUUAGCUAGUUGGUGAGGGUAAAGGCCCACCAAGGCGACGAUCAGUAGCCGGUCUGAGAGGAUGAACGGCCACAUUGGGACUGAGACACGGCCCAGACUCCUACGGGAGGCAGCAGUGGGGAAUCUUCCGCAAUGGGCGAAAGCCUGACGGAGCAACGCCGCGUGAACGAAGAAGGUCUUAGGAUCGUAAAGUUCUGUUGUUAGGGGCGAAGGGCGAUAGUUUAAAUAAGGCUAUUGUUUGACGGUACUUAACGAGGAAGCCACGGCUAACUAC